AUUGACACGUCCCGACCCGAUGUCCUAGGGACAAAGGGUUGGUCACGUGCUGGCCGACACCCGAAGGUGACGAAAGCCAUUUAUUAAGUGCAAAUGCUGAAAACAAGGGAUAUAUAAGACUUAUAAAUACAAAAGAAUAAAGAAUAUGCAUUUAAGGAACGUGUUCAGAGCAUACGACUAACUAGAAUACUAACAGAAAUAAUAUAAAAUUGAAUGAAUAAAAGAAUAAGUCCUACACCAAGAAGACUCGAAGAUGCCGAUGCGGAAGUGCUUGAAUGCCGGGAUUGUAUAUCUUGAUUCUAUGUCAGUACUUAGCCGCCAAAUGCUGCGCCACUAGCGAAGACGGAAACGUCACCAUUAAUUGCCCCCAAGCACAUAAAGGGUACAUUUAGUCAAACUCUACUCAAACGAUUUAAUUUGGGAAAACAGACUUCAGAAACGGGUCCAGGAUGUCGAAAUUAGCCUAGGAAGGUAUUGGACGAAAACCCGAAAG
rnacentral:lncRNA from 1 species